UACGGAGGGUGCAAGCGUUAUCCGGAUUUACUGGGUUUAAAGGGUGCGUAGGUGGGUAAGUAAGUCAGUGGUGAAAUCUCCGGGCUUAACCCGGAAACUGCCAUUGAUACUAUUUGUCUUGAAUACUUUGGAGGUAAGCGGAAUAUGUCAUGUAGCGGUGAAAUGCUUAGAUAUGACAUAGAACACCAAUUGCGAAGGCAGCUUACUAAGCAACGAUUGACGCUGAGGCACGAAAGCGUGGGGAUCAAACAGG
rnacentral:rRNA from 1 species